GCAAGAUGAAAAUGGCAUGUGCUAGUGAUUCAUAAUAUGUUGCUUUAAGUUUAGUGCCAACUGGUCUACAUCGUUGAGAAUGUUUAGUUUGAUGGUUCACACAACUUGGCUUAAGUAUAUGACCAACAAUGUAUGAGGGAGCCUGCUAUAAAGACUUUUCUGCACUUCCUUUAAAUUAUUAUAGUAAGCUCAAAUCUUGAAGGUUUAUAAUAUACAGAUAAAAUGUGUCCAUGAGACUGAGAAAGGAUCUUUAGGGAGAAAGGCUCUGUUCCUGAAAGACAGACUUUCAAUGAUUUCCUGCAUUUUAUUUCUGUUGUACUUUACCUUUACCUUUAUUAAACACUAAUAAGGUGGUUCUUAUAGGGCCUCAUAGGACUUUUUAGUUUUCCAACCUAUUCAUACUUGGUGCAAACCUAGUAAUUUUUUGCGUGAUAGUAUUGGGAUUUUAUUCUGAGGCUAGGCUUCACACUGUAAAAACAGCUUUUUGGAAUUGUAUCAUUUUCAGUCUUUCCAUCGUGUUCCACUGUCCCAGCCACACACCAGACAUGAAGACUACAAGCAACCUCAAAAGGUACAGCUGUUGGGAGCUGCCUCUCCUGCCCUCAAUCUCCUUGCAUGUGGUUCCAGAGGGAAGAAGAGGGGAAAAAAAGGAUGAAGAAUAUUGUUUCAGUGCUGGGGGAGCGGAAACCAGACGAUCCAGCGGCCACAGGACGAGUCGCCCCAACUCAACCCCAGCAGGACGCUGGAAGGGCCUCCCUUGCCCACCUCUCUUCGCUGGCACUGGCCUCCCACACCCGGGUCUGCAGUCCCUCCACCAUCUCACAGGCCUCUCCACUUGCCCGAGCUCUCAGCCACCAGGAGACAGACGGAAGGGGCUUCUGGGCUGUGUUGGGAGCGGGCACUGUCCCCUACUCACUCCUGCACAGUUUCCCAAAGUCCAGCGACCUCCAAUCCUCCUUGGGGAAAAAAAUACCAGUACCCAGACACCUCUGCACCCUGUUAUAUGACUGGGCUUGCUUCAGGAAUAUCUUACAAAGAAGAAGAAGAAGAAGGAGGAAUGGCUUGGAGUCAUGUUUACAUCUAGUUCUUCUGAUCCAUUCACAUCUGGAGAGUUUAUUUGUAACUCCCUCUAUAACUCUCUGUUUGGAGGCACUGGUGGCUCUACUGACAGACUGAUGUCUAGGAAAUAUUGCUCUAUGUCUAACCGUACCUAAAUGUGCUGUGGUUGUAUUUACAGAUUUACGUUUGAGGGAAAUAUAAUUAUUUCCAUUGUAUUUGUGCAUAUACAGUAGUUAUAGGAGCAGAUUUAUAUAUGGGAAAAUAUGCGACUCUCUUACAGCCAUCCGGCUUUAUGUACAUUUGAUAUCCUGACAGAUUUCUAUCUCUGAACAGCUAUAUAGAUAAAAACGUAUAUUGUUAGAAUUAUGUAUGAGGAGAUAUAUACUUAUUGAUUGCAAAAUAGUGUAUUUAGAGCAUUCACUUAGAGCCAUAUAUGGCUAUGGAGAGAU
rnacentral:lncRNA from 1 species